GACAGAGGGUGCAAACAUUGCUCGGAAUCACUGGGCGUAAAGCGCGUGUAGGCGGACGAUCAAGUCAGUUGUGAAAUCCCUGGGCUCAACCUAGGAACUGCAUCUGAAACUGGUCGCCUUGAGUGUCGGAGAGGGAAGCGGAAUUCCGGGUGUAGAGGUGAAAUUCGUAGAUAUCCGGAGGAACACCGGUGGCGAAGGCGGCUUCCUGGACGACUACUGACGCUGAGACGCGAAAGCGUGGGGAGCAAACAGG
rnacentral:rRNA from 1 species